rnacentral:rRNA from 1 species
UUAUGACCAUAUCAUGUUGAAACACCAUUACUCAUCUGAUCACUGAACUUAAGCAAUGCUGAGCCUGGUCAGUACCUAGAUAGGUGACCACUAGGGAAUAUCAGGUGCUGUAAG